CCUACGGGGGGCAGCAGUGGGGAAUAUUGGACAAUGGGCGCAAGCCUGAUCCAGCCAUGCCGCGUGUGUGAAGAAGGCCUUUUGGUUGUAAAGCACUUUAAGCGGGGAGGAGGGCACCACGGUUAAUACCCGUGAAUGUCGGACGUUACCCGCAGAAUAAGCACCGGCUAACUCUGUGCCAGCAGCCGCGGUAAUACAGAGGGUGCGAGCGUUAAUCGGAAUUACUGGGCGUAAAGCGCGCGUAGGCGGUUAUGUAAGUUGGAUGUGAAAUCCCCGGGCUUAACCUGGGCACUGCAUUCAAAACUGCAUAGCUAGAGUAUGGGAGAGGAAGGUAGAAUUCCAGGUGUAGCGGUGAAAUGCGUAGAGAUCUGGAGGAAUACCGAUGGCGAAGGCAGCCUUCUGGCCUAAUACUGACGCUGAGGUGCGAAAGCAUGGGGAGCAAACAGGAUUAGAUACCCCGGUAGUC
rnacentral:rRNA from 1 species